ensembl:piRNA 21ur-1741 ncRNA
UGGGCUUAUAUAAAAAUUCUA